AAAGAAGAAGAAGCAUACAACAUUGUGUCUAUAACACUAAAGCCAAAAAAUAUAUGGCUUGAAUCUAAUCAUGACAAGAUAUUAAAGUAAUGAGCGUUCUACAAAGCAACUGGCUUAUAAUCUUCAACUGUCAGGGUCAGUAAAGCCAAGAAAAAAUAAAGAAUGGUUCCAGCUUAAGGGAGGCUAAAAAACAUGAUGACUAAAGGCAGCACAUAAUUCUGAACUUAUCCUCUUGAUAGAAUAUUUCGGGACAAUCAGCAAAUUUUUAUUGGACUCCAAGGAUUAUGUAGCAAGAAUAAUUUGCAUCUCUCUCUUACAGUGUUGUUAGAUUAUUAGAGGGUUAAAGGACAUAAUACAAGCAAAGCACUGACUGCAAAAAAAAAUCUAUUCACGAAAUAAAAAAAUAUAAAUAUUCAAUACAUUAACAGGAAGCUGGAUCAGAAGUCGAGGUGCCAGAACUUGAACUGGCACUCUGAUAUGAGAUGUGGGCAAACCACGAAUUGGCUUAGUUUGCUAUGCUGUAGUGCCCACCCCAGCAUUGGGAAAUCAAACAUUGCACUUCUUAAAUAGCCCAUUGCAUGGAACAGGAAGACUCGAAGAAUAUGGACAGGCCAAAGCUGGCAUUGAAGAACAGUGAGUUAAGCAGCCUGCAAUGUGAUUCCAGUCUCAGCUACUCUACUUCUGACCCAGCUUCCUCUAAUGUGUUUAAGAAAGCAGAAGAAAAUGACCCAAGCGCUUGGGCCCCUGAGCCUACACGGGAGCUCCAGGUGGAGUUCCAGGCUCCUUGCUUCAGUCUGGUCCGGCCCCAGUUGUUGCAGCCAUUUGGGGAGUGAACUAGUGAGUGAAAGAUUCCUCUUCUGAUAUCUCCCUAUCUCUCUCCGUAACUCUGCCUUCCAAGGACACUCCUUCAUUUAACUACCGUGAGGAGAGCAGUGACUAAGAGGGGUCAAUACAAUCCUCGCUAACUCACUGAGACACUCAAAAGGAAUGUGUUUAUCUGAUUUUAUUUCAUGUUUAAGAAAAUUUUACUUUAGCCAUGGGAGUUUCAAGCUGAACUCAUGGGCCAGAAACUCCAUCCAAGUCUUCCAAGUGGGUGGCAGAGGCCUAAACACUUGAGUCACCACCUGCUGCCUGCCCCCAGGAUGCACAUCAGCAGGAAGUUGGAAUCAGAAGUGGAACUGGAACUGGAAGCUAGGCCCAUGAUGGCAGCUGAAGGUGUGGCUCCUCUAGAAGAUACCGGAUUCUGAAAUGCAAGAGAGGAAAUGGAUAAUGAAAUAGUCCAUCACAAGAAAGAGGGAGACCAUCUGCUUUGGAGCUCUGCUUCCAUGGAGGCUUGGAAAUCACAGCAGCACAGAAACUGGAAGGAUUUGGAAGAACCUAACAGAGUAUCCGGUAGAGACUUAAGUCAAGGGCCAGGAUGGAACCUUGCCAGAGACACUGAAAGUCACUUCUCUCUGUCCCACGUAAGGGUAGAAAUGUACUGACUCCAC